AAGCUUUGCUCAUGCUCAUGCGCCAUUACAGCCUGUCUGCCUCGGUGGCAAUGUCCCAUGACUGAUGCUGAGAGCAGAUUCAGCCAGAGACUCGACAGACAGCCCAGGUGCUGCACACUGCAGGCACCAGAAAUUCUCCAAGUGUGGCCACGUACAGAGGUAGAAGAUUUUGGCGAUAUUAUGAGCCUGUUCCUGUGAUCUAGGACUGCAACCCUCUGCAACCACUGACGAAGCAGCAAGUCCAGGGGACUCUUCCAUUCACAAUAAAAC